UCUCCAAACAUGCUGUAACUGAACUAAGUGAUGGAGAUUCAUCCAAAAGGAUAGUGGAAAUAAUCUGCCAAACGAGCUGGUUGAAGUCUGAGCACAGCAGUUGUGAACAGAUUGAGAGGGUCUUGAAAGUCCACAACAUGCAAAGGACCCUCGCCCGGUUCAAAGAAUAGUGAGAGAUGGUCAAGAUCAGAGCCAGCAAGUUAUCCAAGAAGCACCCCCGCUGUUUGGCUGAUGGGAACGAGCUCCUAAGAUUCUAUGGCACGGCCGUGGCUUGCUCGCUUGGUGCCAAUUCUCUUGUGCCAAGUGUCAAACAACUGUGUUGAUAUGAAUUCAAUAUUCUAUCAAACACUCUUGAGGCAGUCAUUAGUUGGUCCAAUUCCUGGUAGAGAUACACUAGCAGACACUACUUUUUUGGUGCACCACCAAGAGGCCAUAUUCAACUUAUCUCGUAGUCCAGCGGCCAGCAAAGAAUAGAACAACAUAGAUUAGUCCCAUUUUAAAGUUUGCCUGCUCUCUCAUGCCAUGCCCGUCUCUUUUUGCAUUGCUCUUGGCUCUUGUUUCAUCUUUGGCUUGGUACAUCAUUUAUCUGUGCAUGAGAUGCUGUUACAGUUGUAGAAAUGCUUUAAAUCCAUCAUUUUGAAGGCUAAUAUCCCGAGACUCCUUAUUCUCUCACUUCGUUAUGCUGUUAAUAUGAGAGGAUGUAUUUCCUCCUCUUUUUAAAUCCAAGUUACGAGAAUUCUCCUGAUCCAAGACUGACUCUUCACAUUUUUUGGCACAGGCUGUGAAGUACUUCUUGGAUGCUAAGACUUUUCAAAAGGUUAAGUUUGUGUACCUGAAGAACAAAUAUGAGAGGAUGUAUUUCCUCCUCUUUUUAAAUCCAAGUUACGAGAAUUCUCCUGAUCCAAGACUGACGCUUCACAUUUUUUGGCGCAGGUUGUGAAGUACUUCUUGGAUGCUAAGACUUUUCAAAAGGUUAAGUUUGUGUACCUGAAGAACAACGACAGUGUUGAGCUCAUGAGAUCAUUCUUUGAUGAGGAGAACCUUCCUACUGAGUUCGGAGGAAGAGCAAAACUGAAGUACGACCAUGAAGAAUUCUCUAGGCUAAUGGGUGAAGAACAACCCUGCUGCAUUGCUUGCUUUAUGUUGGUAUUGGGCUUCUGAUGGCGUAGGAUCUAAGGACAUGGUAAUUCUUCCUUACAAAGACAGCCUUCUGUUAUUCAGUUGGUAUCUGCAACAAUUUGAUUUGGAUGGCAAUCGGGUCAAUCAAGGGCUUACUGUUUAUGGGAAUAAAGGAAGCACAGAUCAGCAUGCAUAAGUAAUUUUUUGAUAAAGGAACGGGCUAUGCUCUAUAUGCCAAUGAUCGUGAGUCUAUAACAGUCACUGUUGAAGAAGUGACCCCUAGAUCAGUGGGGGCUCUUAUAGCAUUGUAUGAGUGAGCAGUUGAGAUAUACGCCUCAUUCAUGCCUAUCAUCAACCUGGUAAAUAGUUUACCUUAUAAUUCUUAUUUAAAUUAGAUGAUUGCUAUAUGUUUUGGGCUUGUUGCUGUUGAGAAUAUGUGUGGCCUCUCUGAGUCAAGAAAUCAAAUCAAUUCAUCCAACUGGCUGUCUUUUCUCUUGGCCCCCGAUGUGCGACUGAAAUUCUUAGGUGUCGAAGCUGGGAAAGAGGCAGCAGCAGAAACAUGGAUAAGAAGAAAAGCAAGCUCGUAGGCAUUGCAGAUGAUGGAUAGAAAGAGAUCCGCAUUGAAAGGACAGAUGAAUUUGGCCAAAUAUUAACCCCAAAGGAAGCUUUCCGAUUGCUUUCCCGUAAAUUUCAUGGAAAAGGGCCUGGCAAAAUGAAGCAAGAGAAGCGCAUGAAGCAAUACCAGGAAGAAUUGAAGUUGAAGCAGACGAAGAAUUCAGACACGCCUUUCUUUGUCUGCAGAGAGGAUGAGGGAAGCUCAAGCCUUUCUUUUUCUUUUCUUUUUUCUUUUUUUCCUAAUAGUAAGCCAUGCUUACAAAGUUCUGGAUGCAUAUUAGUAUGUUAACUUCCUAUGCAAUAAACUUCCUCCCAGUUCUUUACAUGUGUCCACUUUUGAUAGGAUUUGGAAGAAGAUUUGGCAGCAGAACAUGAUCAUCUAUCAACUGGAGUCCAAGAUAAGGGAAUUACGGCAAGUCAUCAAAAGUUUAAUCAUGCAGUACACACAAUUGAUUCUCUGUAGUCAACAUGAUUCCAAGAAUCUGGACAUUUGUUGUUCUGUAUAGCACGCUGUGGAAGAGAAAGAUGAGUUCUUAACACCGGCAAAUGAGGAAGAGUCAAUUGUAUCAUCUGAACCUAUUGUUGAUGCUGAAAGCAAGGUGGCUAAUGGUUAUAUAGAUGCAGAAGUACUUUUUCUCAACUCUUUUGAUUUUAUUGCUUUAAUGUGACUGCAAACCCGACAUGUAUUCAGGCACUUCACUUUA